UACGGAGGGAGCUAGCGUUGUUCGGAAUUACUGGGCGUAAAGCGCGCGUAGGCGGCUUUGUAAGUCAGAGGUGAAAUCCCGGAGCUCAACUCCGGAACUGCCUUUGAGACUGCAUCGCUUGAAUCCGGGAGAGGUGAGUGGAAUUCCGAGUGUAGAGGUGAAAUUCGUAGAUAUUCGGAAGAACACCAGUGGCGAAGGCGGCUCACUGGACCGGGUAUUGACGUCUGAGUGUGCGAAAGCGUGGGGAGCAAACGGA
rnacentral:rRNA from 1 species